CCCCCUGUAGCUCAACGGAUAGAGCAGCGCUCUUCUAAGGCGUUGAUAGGGGUUCGAUUCCUCUCGGGGGGA
rnacentral:tRNA from 5 species